rnacentral:rRNA from 1 species
GACGAACGCUGGCGGCGUGCUUAACACAUGCAAGUCGAACGGUGAAGCGCCUUCCUUUUUGGUGGGUGUGGAUGAGUGGCGAACGGGUGAGUAACACGUGAGUAACCUGCCCCCUUCUGCUGGAUAACCGCAUGAAAGUGUUGCUAAUACGGGAUAUUCUGGGUCUGUCGCAUGAUGGGUCUGGGAAAGAUAUUGUUUCGGUGGGGGAUGGGCUCGCGGCCUAUCAGCUUUUUGGUGGGGUGAUGGCCUAGCAAGGCGGUGACGGGUAGCCGGCCUGGGAGGGUGGCCGGGCACACUGGGGCUGAGACACGGCCCAGCCUGCUACGGGAGGCAGCAGUGGCGAAUAUUGCACGCUGCGCGCGAGACUGAUGCAGCGACGCCGCGUGAGGGAUGGAGGCCUGCGGGUUGUGAACCGCUUUCGCUAGUGAAGCAGGCCUGCCUCGUCUGUGGGUGGGUUGACGGUAGCUGGAGAAGAAGCGCCGGCUAACUCCGUG